rnacentral:rRNA from 1 species
CCUACGUGAGGCAGCAGUGAGGAAUAUUGGUCAAUGGCCGGAAGGCUGAACCAGCCAAGCCGCGUGAAGGACGAAGGUUCCAAGCAUUGUAAACUUCUUUUGUCAAGGGACAAAAUCAGGCUCGAGAGCCUGACCGAGGGUACUUGAAGAAAAAGCAUCGCCUAACUCCGUGCCAGCAGCCGCGGUAAUACGGAGGAGUCAGGCGUUAUCCGGUUUUAUUGGGUUUAAAGGUGGCGUGGUGGGACUGUUAAGUUGGCGGGAAAUGCCCGGGGCUAAACCCCGGCGUGCCGUUGAGACUGGCUGUCUUGAGUUGUCGAGAGGUAUGCGGAAUGGACAGUGUAGCGGUGAAAUGCUUAGAUAUUGCACAGAACCCCGAUUGCGAAGGCAGCAUACCGGCGGCGAUCUGACGCUGAGGCACGAAAGCGUGGGGAUCGAACAGGAGUAGAUACCCCAGUAGUC